CCUACGGGGGGCAGCAGUGGGGAAUAUUGGACAAUGGGCGAAAGCCUGAUCCAGCCAUGCCGCGUGUGUGAAGAAGGCCUUCGGGUUGUAAAGCACUUUCAGUGGGGAAGAAAGCCUUGGGGCUAAUACCCUCGAGGAAGGACAUCACCCACAGAAGAAGCACCGGCUAACUCCGUGCCAGCAGCCGCGGUAAUACGGAGGGUGCGAGCGUUAAUCGGAAUUACUGGGCGUAAAGCGCGCGUAGGCGGUCUGAUAAGCCGGUUGUGAAAGCCCCGGGCUCAACCUGGGAACGGCAUCCGGAACUGUCAGGCUAGAGUGCAGGAGAGGAAGGUAGAAUUCCCGGUGUAGCGGUGAAAUGCGUAGAGAUCGGGAGGAAUACCAGUGGCGAAGGCGGCCUUCUGGACUGACACUGACGCUGAGGUGCGAAAGCGUGGGUAGCAAACAGGAUUAGCUACCCUAGUAGUC
rnacentral:rRNA from 1 species